AUACCCGCUGAACUUAAGCAUAUCAAUAAGCGGAGGAAAAGAAACCAACAGGGAUUGCCUCAGUAACGGCGAGUGAAGCGGCAAAAGCUCAAAUUUGAAAUCUGGCUCUUUCAGAGUCCGAGUUGUAAUUUGUAGAGGAUGCUUCGGCUUACGUUUCGGUCUAAGUUCCUUGGAACAGGACGUCACAGAGGGUGAGAAUCCCGUUUGUGGCCGAGACUUCCGCCAUGUGAAGCUCCUUCGACGAGUCGAGUUGUUUGGGAAUGCAGCUCUAAAUGGGAGGUAAAUUUCUUCUAAAGCUAAAUACCGGCCAGAGACCGAUAGCGCACAAGUAGAGUGAUCGAAAGAUGAAAAGCACUUUGGAAAGAGAGUUAAAAAGUACGUGAAAUUGUUGAAAGGGAAGCGCUUGCGACCAGACUUGCCCGCAGAUGCUCAACCGGUCCUUCGGCCGGUGCACUCUUCUGCGGUCAGGCCAGCAUCAGUUCGAGCGGUCGGAUAAAGGCCUUGGGAAUGUGGCUCUCUUCGGGGAGUGUUAUAGCCCUUGGUGUAAUACGGCCCGCCUGGACUGAGGCCCGCGCUUCGGNUAGGAUGCUGGCGUAAUGGUCGUAAGCGGCCCGUCUUG
rnacentral:rRNA from 1 species